ACUUGGGUGCUGCAUUCCAAACUGGGUGUCUAGAGUGUUGGAGAGGAAAGUGGAAUUCCUAGUGUAGCGGUGAAAUGCGUAGAGAUUAGGAAGAACACCAGUGGCGAAGGCGACUUUCUGGACAAUAACUGACGCUGAGGCUCGAAAGCGUGGGGAGCAAACAGGAUUAGAUACCCUGGUAGUCCACGCCGUAAACGAUGGGUACUAGGUGUAGGGGGUAUCGACUCCCUCUGUGCCGCCGUUAACACAAUAAGUACCCCGCCUGGGGAGCACGGUCGCAAGAUUAAAACUCAAAGGAAUUGACGGGGACCCGCACAACCUGUGGAGCGUGUGGUUCAAUUCGAGACGAAACGAAGGACUUCACCAGGGUUUGACAUGCAAUCGUUUAUUUUCCUGGAAACAGGGAGAAAUCC
rnacentral:rRNA from 1 species